AAUGAGACUUCUAAUCCUAGUUUUGUUUUGUUUUGUUUUUCUAAUCCUAGUUUUUUGAGGAAUCUCCACACCGAUUUCCACAGUGGUUACAUGCCCACUAACAGAGGAAAAGGGUUCCUUUUUCCCCACAGCCCUACCAACAUUUGUUGUUGGUUCAUUCCUUAAUAAUAGCCAUUCUUUCCAGGACUUCUUUGUGAAAUGAAAGUUGGAUUUACAAGAUGUUCUGCAGGGUAGAGCCAAGGUGCUGGCCCAUACUCAAGGCCACAAAGUGGCGGACAGUUCUUCCUCACCCUCAGAGGACUUCUCUUAUAAAGACAAAUUCUUGGAUGCAGGUCCUGGAUCCUGCAAGAGGCUUUUAAAUCAAGAUUUGAUGGAGAAGGAGAAUUUCUCCUCCAUGGCACAUUCUCAUUUACCUUCCUCCUUGGCCAAUAACCCCCUAGAGUCUGCAACAUCUACUGAAAAGAAAAGAGUCCUGAAUGUCUACUAUCAGCCUGUCCCAAUGAAAAGGGGUACGGCUUCCUUGGGGGAUACAGAAGAUGAUUUGGAGCCCCCCACAAAGAUGACAAGAAUAGCAAGAAUGACCUUUCCUGAGAAGAUCCCUUCAAAAGCCAGCCUCUCUUCUGUGUGCCUAAGAGAUGUCCUAACUGACAGUGAAAAUGGCCUGCCCGGGGAAGGGCAAGAGGAAAGGGAAGAGGCUGAGAAUCUGGCCCGGGAUUCGGUGCUGGAGGACCUGUACAGUGGCUUCAGGUGCAUGGGCUGCGACCAGGUCUUCCCCAAUAUGCGGAUGCUUAAGAAACACCUGGAGGAUGGGGUUGAGGGUGGUGCUUCAUGCCUUAGUCUUGCAUUUGCCAAACUAAGGAACAAAAUGAAGCAAAGCAAGAGAAUCACAGAGGGGGAGGAUGGGAAUAUGACAACAUCUGGAGGUGAUAUGGAGACACUUGUGAUGUUCUUGUUACUUGUGGCUUUUUGUUUUUUCUUUUACUAUUAUAAUAAAUAGAAAUUAAAUCAUAUGUUUCCGGAAGUAAUAAAU
ensembl:lncRNA